rnacentral:lncRNA from 1 species
ACCAUGCAAGUUCAAGAUGAUCAAGUGACAUUCAAUGUAUUCAAGGCCAUGAGAUUUCCAUAUGCAAUUAAAAAAUGUUCCGCUAUGUCCAAGACAAAAACGUUGGUUUCUACAGUAUGGGAGCUUAACUCUGUAGAUGAUCCGUUGGAACGCAUUUUAGUAUCCAACCCACCAAAUAACAAUAAAGAUGAUAAAUAUUUGGCUUUGUUAAACGCCAAUUCGAGGGAAUUUUCUUCACAACCAAAUCAUUGGAGUUAGCAUCUAGUGAGUAUACAUAACCAAAUACGUCGAUCUAGGAACCACCUGAAUUGGAGUUAAAAGUACUUCCUUCUCAUUUGAAAUAUGCUUAUUUGGGUCCCUCUUCAACUUUUCCUGUCAUCAUUUCAGUUGACCUAACUAAAAAACAAGAAGAAAAGUUGGUUGAUAUGUUGAAUAAGUUUAAAAAAGCAAUCAAUUGGACUAUCGCUAAUAUUCGAGGUAUCAGUCCGUCUUUGUGUAUGCAUAAAAUCUUACUAGAAAAUUAUAAAAAGGCAUCGAUUGAUGACCAGAGUUAUAUAUUGAAAUGUUACAAAUGUUAUAUAAUUUUUUUUAACAACUAAAUAUAAAAUAUUAAAAUUGAUACAUAUAGCCUAAUGCACGGGAUAAAAAACUAGUGUAGCUAUAUUUUACGGUUUGUAAUGUAAUAUUUAAUAGGUUUGUUAACUGAAUUACAUGUUUUUAGAUUUAAAAGUUUUAUUAACAUGAUAACUCGUAAAUAUUUUCAACUUAUGUUCUUUUAGAUGCUACAAAUUUUAAACAAAAUUAUUUGUUUAAGAGUUAUAUAUUUAUAUAUAUAAUUAUAUUUAUAAUACUAACUGCCGCCAGAUGUGCGAACUCCUAAACUGGAAAUACUACAGCAAAUAAAUACACGAUUAAACAGCAGUGUCCGCAAGUAUACGGGUCAAAUGGUAAUAUAGAAUAACAUACAAUGAAACACUCCAGAAAGUAUUCCAAGGAUCGUACCCAAGGGAGGUUGAAUUAAAUUAAUUUUCUACACUAAUAGGGCAAAAUAAUACUAAUUUAAAAUUAUAUUACGAACAACCAAAUUAAAAUUGAUAAACCAAAUUAACAUAAAUUAUCUAAAAUGAAAAUAACUAGUUAACAAUCGAAAUUACUUCCAAUAAAACAAGCAAGAGAUUAACUCACUUCGAUGUUCCUAAUUAACUUUAGAACUCGAGUUUUAUUGAGUUAGCUAUUAAUUUGCCAGUUAUUACCUCUUGACCUCUAACUAAUUAACUAAUCAACCAAUACACGCUUACCUUUCGGCCUCACUUUCUUGACUAGGAUAAAUUAUGAUUUUCUCGGUAAACUUAUCUCUCGAUCUUGUUUAUCCUAAAUUACUUCCUAAGGUCAUCACUUUUUUGGGUUUAAUCGCACAUAAUUUAAACCAACUAACUCGAAUUUAAACCCUAAUUCAUUCGAUAAUUAGUCACACAUCUGUUUGUUAAUCUCCCUAAGGAAAUUAGUCACUGAUGGAUCUAAAUGCAAUAAUCCCUAAAUCCAUAUUUAACAUACAAAACAGUAAAUUAAAUAAAAGAAAGGAAUAAGAAAAUAAAUCCAUUUUGGUAUUGCAACGAUAACUCCGAUUGCAAUUGGAAUCCAAAAAGAAAUAAUGAAAAACUAUGAAACUGAAAGCUUGGAUCAAAAUCGAAUCCAAGUUAAACAAGAACAAAAACUGUUUUAAGGACUCAAUUGAAAGAAAAUGAAAACUAAAGUAAAAACCUAAAAUUAACUAAGUGACUCACUUGGCCAAGGCUCCCAAAAUGAGGCUAAACAUAUAUAUUUAUAGAGUUUAUGCUAUGACCAAAUUAGAGUUGCUUAACAACCCAAAAACCUAAUUACAUUUCAUUGUGUGGACUAAAAUACCUAUAAUUAAAUUUUCUAAUCGUCAUCCAAUGGGCUUAGAUUCUACAUAUAGUUUGAAGAUCUAUCUCUUAGCUUCAAAAAUCACUUUGAAUCACUUGAUUUCGAGUUCGAGAGCUCAAGUUAUGACUGUUUUAGUGAAUAUUGUGCGAGCAAAAUUUCUAGAAGGGAUUAUGACGAAAAUUACGAAUUUUGAGAUUUUAAUCCGAGUUUAAAUCAUAUUGGGUUCAGUUUUUAGGCUUAAUUUUUAUUAUAUAUGAGCCCAAUAUUGUAUUUUUUAGGUUUUAUUAUUUUGUUAUUUAAUUAUUCUGAAUUUUGGAUAUUGUUUAAGUAUUUCAAGUUGUUUAGAAGUUUUUGUUUCUUAGUCAAACAAAAAAAAUUAAUUUAAAACUAUUUCUUGUUUAGAUUAAUUGUUUAGAUUAAUUAGAAUUGCAGUAUACUUUAGAGUUUUAUUUGGAUGCGCUUAGCUAACCUAUAUAAAGACAUCUUCAUUGUUCAUUAAGCAGAUAAUUUUUUUUAUUAAUAAAGUUUUUAACUUUGGGAGUUAAUUUCUUUGUGCAAUAUUUUCUUCUUGAUUUUCUUUAAAGGGUCAUGGAGUCUUCACCCUUCAAUUUGCCAAGUAUUAUUUCUUGGAAGGUUGAUUAGAACCAUUAAUUGAGUUUAUUGAGAUUUAUAUCUCAAAGGGUUCAAUGGGAUAUUUAUCCUUCUAUCCAUCAUAUCCAUCGAUUUAUCAUUCCAUCUUCCACUUUAUUUUUUUUAAUUUCUAUUUCUUAUUUAUUUAUAAUUUUUAUUUGUUCUUUGUUCUCAAAUUUCUUAUGGGUUAAUUUGUUAAUUUGGAAAAAAAAUUAGAUGUUGACGUAAUCAUUGGACUCCAAACGUAGGACCUUUGGUUCGCUUAAUUCCUGGACAUUCUAAUAUGGAUAUGGAUUGCAUGCUAAGUGAUAUGGUCUCAGGGAAUGGUGAGUGGAAUAUUGACCUCUUUCAUCUUUGGCUACCAGAAGACAUAAUCAGAAGAAUUGCAGGGAUUUCGCCUCCCCACUCAACUGUAGGAGUUGAUAAGAUUAAAUUGGGGGGUAACUCGACAAGUUGCUUCUCAAACAAGGAUGCUUAUGGGAAAUUACGAGAAGGAACAUUGAAUCAGAAAGAAUCAAGAUGACACAUCCCUUGGAAAUUUCAAGGACCCCAACUGGUUAGGUUCUUCACCUGGCUUGUUCUUAAACACCGGUUACUGACUAAGGUAGAAAUGGUUCGUAGAGGCUUAGGACAUGACUCGACUUGUGAAGUCUGUGGGCAUGUUUCUGAAGAUGUUCUCUAUGUUCUUAGGGAUUGUACUACUGUAAGGAAUAUUUGGGACCUCCUAAUUCCAUAUGAUUAGCUAACUGGUUUUUCUUCAAGUAGUUUGCAAGAUUGACUUGUUCUUAAUUUGUAGGGUCAUCAAGAUUGGUACGUGGGAGAUGUAGAUUGGAAAUGCCUCUUCGGGAUUAUUGCGUGACACUUUUGGAAGAACCGUAACCUCUUUAUUUUUUAAGGGGCUACCUGUAAUGCUAACGAAAUCAUCAAGGUAUCAUUCAGUUAGGCAAGACAGUACAUCUCCCUCAACAAGGAAUCAUUGGUCAGGUCACUGGACGUGCUUACAUAUAGAUGGAUCUGUGAGAAAUGAAGGUGGUUUUGCUGCAACAAAGGGUAGAGCAAAAAACCGUGAAAGAGAGUGGAUCUUGGGUUUUAAUAGAUUUUUGGGGACAUGUUCCAUUUUUAUGUCGAAUUUUAGGGCAUCUUAGAAAGCUUGACUCUUCUUUGUGAACAUGGCUUUGGUAACAUUUUAAUUGAGACGGAUAAUCUUGAGGCAGUAAAAGCUAUUUAAGAGAGGACAACAAAUGGCUCUAAUUCUGUCUUGAUCGGAAGAAUUCAUCAGUUGUUGUUACGUUUUGAGCAAUGGAACGUUCGCCAUAUUCCCAAAGAAGACAAUCAGGAUGCUGAUAGAAUGGCUGAACUAACACAUCACAUAUCUUAUUAUUUGUGCUUGUAUGAGGUCUCUCCAUUAGGAGGAAUGAUUUAGAUUUUGUAAUUAAUUUAAGUACUCUUUUUUUAUCACCAAAAAAAAAUUGAGUGAUCAAAUUCAAACCUCUCAAAUAAUUUAAUGAUAAAUAACUUUAAUUGUAAUUUAACUAAAAAAUUUAUGUAAAUAUGAUAUAAUAGUAACCACUGAUAGCAUAGAAAUAAAUUGUUGACUACAUACCAUAUUUUUGUAAAAUAAAAUGUAAUUAUACUUUAAAUUUUAUAAUACGAUUCUUAUGGGUUAAUUUAUUAAUUUGUGUAUUUUAAAAUUAACUUUUUUUUAUAAAGAUGUUAAUUUAUAAUUAGUUUCCAUCAUAUAUAUAUAUUACACGUGUUAGUAAAAUUAUUAGUAAAAAUUUGCAUAAAUGAUUGAUAGCUAUUAACAAAUUUAAUAUUUUAAAGAUAAAUAAUUAUAAAUUAAUAAUAUAUGGUGUUUAACAUAUAGCAAAAGAUAAUAUUUUGUAAUCAAAUAAUAAUAAAGAGGUAAACACUUCAUAACUUAGUAAUAAAUAAUUUAUAACGCACAGGUAAAAAAAUAUUAUGGACAAAAAAAUUAAAAAAUAAAUAUAAUAUAAAACUGAAUAGCUAAUAAGAAUAUAGUAAUUAACUUUAUCAUUAUAAUUAUAAACAUAUAUAAUUUAUUGAUUAAGUAGAAAGUGUAUAUAUUUUUAUAAAUAUUACCUAAUUGAAAAUGAAUCCUAACUUAAUGUCUAAUUCUAAAUACAUUAUUUUAAUUAAUAAAAUAUUAUAAAUUCCACAUUUUAAAUAAUUCACGUAGAUAAAAAUUUUAAAAUAAAGAAAUAUUAAAUAUGUUUUUCUAUUAAUAUUAAAUUUUAAUUGUUAUGCCAUGUUUUGUUUAUAUUUUGGAUUUAAAUGUAUAGUUUUAUAUUAAUAUUAUAUAAUCAAAAUGACUUUUAAUUAUAUUUCAAUAAAAAAUAUUGAAUUAAAUUACAUACUAUCAUUUGAUAAUAUCUAGUACCACGGGAGAAUAAAAUAAAUACAUACAGAGAGAGAGAGAGAUCUCACCAGAAAUGGGGCACCAGGCAUCACGCCGUUUUAAAGGUGGUUUUGAAGAAUUAAGGCUUAAAAUCGAUUUGAAGGUGUUGAAUUCCAUGCAAAGCCUUUGUCAAAUCAAUAGCCUCUUGCUUCAAACCUCAUUUUCGCUCUCAGAUCGACCUUAGACUUUACCACCUUAUUAUAUAGGAACUUCAUUUCUUUCUUUCUCCUUUGUUUUUCUAUAUAUGUUUGCUAAAGCUAUCUCAAUACUGUAAAUUUUUCUACACAUUGCAACUAAUCUAUAUAUGUAAAGUCAACAGGUUUAUCCACGAAUUGGAGAAAAAGGACAACUAGUGAACUAUUUGACAAGUAAAUUAAGAAAACACACAACCUUAUAUCUAUAUGCACAAAUAGUAAGUGUUUCAAAGCUUUCUAGUUGGAUUUUCCUAUAGGAGAAGCAAAGUAGCAAUCAGCAAUGUCAAAUCAAGCUAAAAGUAAUUUGGGUUUUAUAUAUGUAUGGGUAUGCUUCAAGUUCAACCCUUGCUAACUUGUAAAUGAGGAAGAUGCAUGAGCUUCAUACCUUCAAAUGGCUUUAACCAUGGCGGAGAACCCAUCAUACAAGGGUUAAAGUGAUGGGUCAGAACCAUUCUAAAAUUUGUUAGUAGGAUGGUCCCUUUUUUUGGAUGUCUAGGGUAUAGACUUAUAGUUUGAUUUGCACGAUAUUAUUACAUCAGAAUCUGCCUAAAGCUUAAUCAAAUCCUGUUUACAGUCAUCAGAUUUUAACAACCAUGUAUCCUCAAUCAAAAGACUAGGACUUCAAAUCUAAAAUAAUUCAUUUCAUGAAUGCGCCAUAAGCUAUUAAUCUUUAUAGAAUUCACUUAAGAUGCCGAAAGGCAAAAUCAUGAACAAAAGACCUCAAGUUGAAGUAUACUGAAACCUCGUGGUUCCUUCCCUGAUUCAGAUGGUAAAUGGUAACAUUAAAGAUUACUAUUAGCAAGCUAGACUUUAGAGGUGCAUGAAAGGUGAGUACUUGAACCAAUCAUAUGGUAGUUUGACAUGUUUCCUUUAGUUGCUAACUUGCACCGCACCUUACAGUCAUCUAGCGAAGCAACCGUAGUAGCUAACGGAAAUCACAAGGUUAUUCACACCUACCAAUACCACGCAUGCCUAUUCUAAGUUCAAACAUAAAAAGAAAAAAGUACCUAGAUCAUUUAUGCAGGUUUCCAUAGGAAUAUGUGAAGAUCAAAAGGGUAACUAAGCAAAGAUGGAAUUGGAAUAGAUAUAUGGGUUCAGUAUGAGUAUGUUAUUUCAUCUAUGUGUUGAUUAAACCCUGUUAUAAAGAUGUGUUCAAGGUCGAACAGACAACGAAAGAAAGGAUUAACCCGCAAAAGGCUGCUCACUUGACAAGCAUGGCAUGGAAAUCACUCACCAGUUAGUGAUUGAAGAAAAUCUCCAAUUUGCUAGUUAACUCCGGGAAUCUCUCUCUGCAUAAAACAAUGGAAGAAAAAAAAUGGGAAAGAAAAGAAAAGGAAAAUAAGGAAGCAUGAAGCUGUGCAACUGCACCGAAAGGGAGUUUGAUAUGAUGUGUUAGAGCGUAAAGGUGAGCUUGAUUUAUAGAAAUGAACGAGAUAAGGUAACAAAG